rnacentral:lncRNA from 10 species
CUAGGCUUACAAUCGAAGGGCCAGCUGUUCACUUUACAAUCUAUCCCAGCAUCCUCAGCUCCAAUAACUGCCAGUUGAUGCUUGCCUGUCCCAGUGGAAUUAAUGGAAGCUGUCAACAGCCCGCCCCCGACCUCACUGGAUAUAACUGUGUCCUCGGCAGAUUCGCGUCAGUGUCAACUUAAAAGCAAGAGGGCUUUGAUCCAGAGGCUUUGACAAGGCUACUGCUCAUCCAACUCAGCCAGAAAGUAGGGUAAACUGAGCGCUAAUAUCUGAGACAACUUUUUCAGGGUGGUAUCGAAUGAAGACUGGAUAGGUUCCAGAGAAUCAUUCUUCACAUACUAAAGAGCUGAAAACAGAAGGAGCUCAACAACUCAGACUCCAGAUCUUUCAGACAAUGGCUCACAAGAUUUCCCUUGCUUCUUGGGUUCCUCUCUAGCUCGCCAUCCACUGGUGAUCUUGUUGAUGUAUCUGUUUGGUUACUUCCUGAGGAGAGAAUAACCAGAGGAAGGGCUGAAAAUCCUGGAGAACACCAACAUUAACAAG